ensembl:lncRNA
ACUGGAAACUCUGGCUACAUAAAUAACACAAGUGGAGAGCUUCUUGGAGAGGGUUGGGCACCCAAGCUGAACACUUGAAGCAGGGACUUUGUCCCCUUCAACCUCUGCCUUUUGUCAUUUGAGGACAUGUUAUUCCUUCCUCCUUAGGAAACAGCAUGUGGUAUGUUGAUCUUGGAAGCAGAGAGACCAAGCCCUAGUGGGUGGACGCCUUGAUCACAGACUGCUCAGCCUCCAGAACUAUGGAGAAUAAACGGACCUCUUUAAUAUUUUUAUCUUACCUCACACAAGGGGAUAAUGUUCCUUCCCUACCCAGAAGCCACAGAAGACCACACACAAAGCCCAGGAGCCUCCUUUCCGGGUAUUAGACCAGAAGUCACCUCAGAGAUUCUGAAAGCACUGUAGGCUAUCGCUGCUGCUCUUGGUUGAACUUGCAGGAGCUGAAAGAGAAUAGCACACUGGCCGGGCUGACAGGAAGAGUGAUGGGGGUGGAGACACAGGCUGCUGAGGGGCCAGAGAAGUCUUAGGGAAGUGUCCAUAUGUGAGUACUUUCUGAAAAGACUUAGAUCCAACUGCGCUCUUUUGGACCUAGCUUGUUCCUUGCCUAUCCAAUAGGUCUCAAGUGGCCCAUAAAAUUUUUACUACAUUUUGUCCACCCGUGGAUACUGUGACCUAACGUGACCCAAUCAGGGAGCUGUUUGGCAACGUUUUCAGAGGGGACCAGAAUGGCCCAGGGCCAUGGCCGAAUUGACAGUGUUUGCUUUA